ACAGGGUGACUGACAAAAAGGGGCUUUCAUGUUUCCAUUUUGUGGGACAAUUACCAUUUGAGGAUUGCCAGCAGUAACUGUUUUCUCGCAGUAGAGACAGAUCCAGAUCAAGCCUCACUCUUCUACAGGAAGUCAGCUGGAAGUCAUGAGAAGACGAGAGAAGGGUAUUAGAAACAAUCAGGAACAACAGGAGGCUACCCCACCACAAUCAAAAUCAUGCAUAGAA